UUGAAAUAAAUUGUCAAUAGCAUUCUCCUUCCUUUCCCCGUUUUCAUGCUAGAUUGUGGCUCUGCCACAACACCACUCUUUUUAAGCUGAUGCCAACCGUUAUGGAGUGAGCCCACAGUCCUCAGAUAUGAGAAAUAAAGAAAGAAGUAGAGAGAAAUAGAACUAAAGAAUAGAAAGAAGGAAUAGAGAGAAAACAGAGAGAAAUUGAGAGAGAAGUGAUUAGAAUUCUG
rnacentral:misc_RNA from 1 species